CCUACGGGCGGCAGCAGUGAGGAAUAUUGGUCAAUGGGCGGAAGCCUGAACCAGCCAAGUCGCGUGAAGGAUGACUGCCCUACGGGUUGUAAACUUCUUUUAUAAAGGAAUAAAGUGAGGCACGUGUGCCUUUUUGUAUGUACUUUAUGAAUAAGGAUCGGCUAACUCCGUUCCAGCCGCCGCGGUAAUACGGAGGAUCCGAGCGUUAUCCGGAUUUAUUGGGUUUAACGGGAGCGUAGAUGGGUUGUUAAGUCAGUUGUGAAAGUUUGCGGCUCAACCGUAAAAAUGCAAUUGAUACUGGCAGGCUUGAGUACAGUUGAGGUAGGCGGAAUUCGUGGUGUAGCGGUGAAAUGCUUAGAUAGCACGAAGAACUCCGAUUGCGAAGGCAGCUUACUAAACUGCAACUGACAUUGAUGCUCGAAAGUGUGGGUAUCAAACAGGAUUAGAUACCCCUGUAGUC
rnacentral:rRNA from 1 species